rnacentral:rRNA from 1 species
UGGGGAAUUUUGGACAAUGGGCGAAAGCCUGAUCCAGCAAUGCCGCGUGUGUGAAGAAGGCCUUCGGGUUGUAAAGCACUUUUGUCCGGAAAGAAAUCCUUGGCUCUAAUACAGUCGGGGGAUGACGGUACCGGAAGAAUAAGCACCGGCUAACUACGUGCCAGCAGCCGCGGUAAUACGUAGGGUGCAAGCGUUAAUCGGAAUUACUGGGCGUAAAGCGUGCGCAGGCGGUUUGCUAAGACCGAUGUGAAAUCCCCGGGCUCAACCUGGGAACUGCAUUGGUGACUGGCAGGCUAGAGUAUGGCAGAGGGGGGUAGAAUUCCACGUGUAGCAGUGAAAUGCGUAGAGAUGUGGAGGAAUACCGAUGGCGAAGGCAGCCCCCUGGGCCAAUACUGACGCUCAUGCACGAAAGCGUGGGGAGCAAACAGGAUUAGAUACCCUGGUAGUCCACGCCCUAAACGAUGUCAACUAGUUGUUGGGGAUUCAUUUCCUUAGUAACGUAGCUAACGCGUGAAGUUGACCGCCUGGGGAGUACGGUCGCAAGAUUAAAACUCAAAGGAAUUGACGGGGUCAUAGCUGUUCCU